AGGCUCUGCUACAUCCAUACUUCUUUAUAGAGCCUCUGCCGGCGCACCAUUCUGAGCUCCCCAUCCCACAAAGAGGAGAGAGGAGAGGCCGCCAGAGAGACUUUCAUACUGAGCAGCCAUUGCAUGACAGCCUUGUGGAGCCAGGAUAUCUGCAGGAGUAUCUCUGCGGCUUGUGACCAGAAACUUUGGCACUUUCAUCAUCAUUGUGACAAGGCUGGGGCAGUGAAACUCUUCACCCCAUUCACUAAUGUGGAACAUGAUAGGAAACUGAUCCCAAAUUGCCAGUCCCGUUGAGUUAAUAGCAAGGUGCCAGUCCCGUUGGGUAUACUUAAUUGGCGCUGCGAUUGCUUGGUGGUAGAUGGAUGGAAUAGGACACUAUUUCUAAGCAGACGCUGGAGACUGGAUAUUAAUCUUAUUACUUAAUAGACUGUUUACUUCCUUACAGAGUCCUCUUCUUGGUUGCACGUGGUGCAUAGGUUUCCAUUAGGAAUCAAUAGGUUGUUGGGGUAGAAAUGAGGACAGGGGCUUGGAGGAGAGAAGAUCCACAAAAAAUGGUCUGCAAACCUCACCAUUCUCCUCCAGUAUCCAGAUUACUCACACUGCGGGCACUCGUGGCAUUCUAAUCUACACACACUGCGGGCACUUGUGGCAUUCUAGUCUACACACACUGCGGGCACUCGUGGCAUUCUAGUCUGCUAUUCAGUGACACAAACAUUUCUUUAUGACAAUUCGCCUGAAUAAAAUCUGUGGAAAGCGCACAGGUAAAUCAAUUUGUUCCGGUAUCAAUUAACAGGAAUGUUACAUAGUUAUAAGAAAAGAGACUUACGUCCAUCAAGUUCAGCCUUCCUCACAUAUGUCUUUGCUGUUGAUCCAAAAGAAGGCAAAAAACCCAGUCUUAACCUUGUCAAAAUUCCAAUUUUGUGACAAACUAGGAAUAAAUUCCUCCUUGACCCCAAAAUGGUAGUCAGAUAUCUUUGCCUUAGAUGAAAUCUCCUUUCUUCCAGCCUAAAUGUGUGACCUUGUGUCCUAUGUAUAGC